rnacentral:rRNA from 1 species
UACAGAGGGUGCGAGCGUUGUCCGGAAUUACUGGGCGUAAAGGGCGCGUAGGCGGCCCCGUGCGCGUGCCGUGAAAGCCCGGGGCUCAACCCCGGGUCGGCGGUGCGGACGGCGGGGCUGGAGCCCACCAGAGGCAGGCGGAAUUCCGGGUGUAGCGGUGGAAUGCGUAGAGAUCCGGAAGAACACCGGUGGCGAAGGCGGCCUGCUGGGGUGGAGCUGACGCUGAGGCGCGACAGCGUGGGGAGCAAACAGG